rnacentral:rRNA from 1 species
GUUUCUGACCCAUCAGCUUGACGGUAGGGUAUUGGCCUACCGAGGCAGCAACGGGUAACGGGGAAUUAGGGUUCGAUUCCGGAGAGGGAGCCUGAGAAACGGCUACCACAUCCAAGGAAGGCAGCAGGCGCGCAAAUUACCCAAUCCUGACACAGGGAGGUGGUGACAAGAAAUAACAAUACAGGGCAAUUGUCUUGUAAUUGGAAUGAUGGUGACCUAAACCCUCACCAGAGUAACAAUUGGAGGGCAAGUCUGGUGCCAGCAGCCGCGGUAAUUCCAGCUCCAAUAGCGUAUAUUAAACUUGUUGCAGUUAAAAAGCUCGUAGUUGAAUUUCUGCGUUAUCGAGUUAUUGACUCUUGUCUUUAAUCGAUUUCGCUUUUGGGAUUUAUCCCUUUUUACUUUGAGAAAAUUAGAGUGUUUCAAGCAGACUUUUGUCUUGA